rnacentral:lncRNA from 1 species
AAGCCGGCAAAAACAAACUGAACUACAAAUAAAUAAAUAUUUCAAAAUUAUGUACGUCACAAAUGGGAGAAAAGAUUUGGAGAAUGGGGCGGCGGCGGCGGCAGCAGCAGUUGGAGAAAUUGUUUUAUAUUAUGCGCAUAACGUAUUAAUUUAAAGUAAAAUGAUGAAGAAAUCCACUAAAUUUGUUCUCUUUUACUCAAUCGCCAGCAUGAAGCUGCCCAUUACAAUUAUUAAAAUAAGAGUAUUAGGCUAAUGUUAGAUAGUAUUUAAUCCUUCUUCCAAAGUCACAAGGGAAGAAAAUAACGUUUUAAGAAUAUUCCACGAAUCAAAAUGGAAGUAGCAUAGCAUGCAUCCCCCUUGGGCUUUGGUGGCUAGCAUUGACGGCCUAGACUCAGGCAUGACAUUUCUAGUUGACAAACACUCGCUCUGCCUCUCCCUCUGCCUGUCUAUAUAUAUAGUAUAGUUGAAGAACAAACUCCCUUAUAUACCCUUACUCAUAAUCCUUCCAAAUUUUUAUUUUUCUCUCGAAUGGCUGGUCUUCAAUACAAUUUCUUCCCCACCGAUUUCUUUUUCCCACCGCCCUCCGUAAAUCGUGACGCCACUGGCCCCCAAGUACUUCCGACAGUGAUCAAGUCCGACGAAACCACCGCCGAUUUCAAAGUACAGUCCUCGUCGCCAGCGGCCUUGGCAGUUCGCCGUGAAAUCAUGAAGAACAUUAUUCUAAAGGCUCCCCCUUCCUCCUCUAAUCCCUUAUUAGCUUCCACUGACAAUAACAAAAUUAAUCAAGGUGAGUCCACCACCUGAUCUUUGUGGCGCACAUAUAUAUUGUUCCAUCCGAUCCGGACUGAAUUUUUGGUUGUCUUUCGCAUGCAUAUAUGUAUGUAUUGUUCGACAUGCAAUUGUAAAAGGGUAGCUUCUGAUCAAGCUGAAUCAUUAUAAUUACUUAUAUAUUGAAUAAGAGAUGGAAUGUAUCGAUUUAACUACAUGAUAUGUAUGUAUGUAUAUGGUUGAGCUGCUUUAACUUUUCCUCCUGAAUUAUUUUUACACUCUUUUAAUUAAAUUGGCUGGAAGUCCAUAUUUAUUGGAUCAAAAAUGAUAUUAUGAGAGUAAUAAAUAUCAUUAAAUGUUAAAUAUUGCUGAAACAAUUAUUAAAGUGUCAUGAUUUUAUAUUUUUUUUAAAAAAAAUUAGACAACAUAAUUUUUGCUAUAAUAAUAUCAAUAACCUCUGAAUUCUUUUAAUUCUUUAUGACCGAUAUUAAAUUAUUAAUUGAUCUGCACGUCAAUAAGUGUAUUAAGAAGUAAUUCAUUCAUCCCUUAUAUUAAUAUAAGUCGUUUACGACACUUGACCACUUAGCUAGAUCAAUUGGCGUCCGGCGUUCUCCUUGUUCAUCUACAUAAUACUAGUACAUGAUAUAUAUAUAUAUAUAUACAGAACCGAUCAGGUGAGGGCUCUUUUAUUUUGUUAAAAUGCGGACCUUUUUUUUUUGUUUUUUUUUUGUAUUUUUUAAAACAACUAAAAAAAAAUAUUUAAUAUUUUAUGGAACUGAUAUUUUUCCAUAAUAUAAUGUUUUGGGCGUGAUUUGAAUACCUAUACCAAAAAAUUGUGGUACAGUCUGCACAGACUGUACAGACCUGUUUUGUUAUACGUAUCCAAAUCACAUCCAAAGCACUGUAUUAUGAAAAAAUUUCAGUUCCAUAAAAUAUUAAAAAAAAAAAUUUAGUUAUUUUUAAAAAAAAGACCAAAAAAAACAAACAAAAAAAAAGUCCGUAUUUUAACAAAGUAAGGGAGUCUUUGCCUGAUCCUGACCCUAUAUAUAUAUAUAUAUAUAUAUAUAUAUAUAAUUAUUAAUAUGUUUUAACAUUCACAAACUUCUUAUAAUUAAAUUGAAUUUGUUUGUGUAGACACUCUCAAUCAGCUCUUUGUUACCAAAUAAUAAAAUAAAAUAAAAAAUAAUAUCAUAUGCAAUAAUUAUAAAUAAAAAGUUGUGCACAAAAAGUAAAAUACAUGUAUUACAUAUUAAUAAAAAUGUUCUAUUGUAAGUUUGAUUUCUUAUUUUCUCUCUUUUCUAAAGUAUUUGUGUAUAAUUUAAGUUCAUAACGUUAGUAUACAAUAAAAAAAUAACUCUCAAUAAUCGCACGGCCCAUGGUGACUUAAGUUUGCCGUGUGUUAUGCGUUACUCCAUCCGUUAUUAAAAAAUUAUCGUUUUAAAAAAUAAAUUUUGUUCUAAAAAGAUUAUUGUUUUGAGUUUAACAAUACACAUUAGCUAUUUUUUUUUACUUUACCCUUAUUUAAAGUUUUUUUUUAUUUAAAGUUUUUUUCCCUUCCCAAUGAUUCUUAUUCAAUUUAAUGCUAUAAUCCAAGUAGUAAUUGGUUGAAAUAAGAAGUAAUUGGUUGAAUUGAAUAAGAAACAUUGGGAGGAGAAUAAUUAGUUGAGACAAUUAAUAAGGGUAGUAUAGUAUUUUCGCUAAGUAUUAAUUAUAUUUCUUAAUCUAUGUGCAUUAACCUUAAACGACAAUCUUUUAGGAACAGAAGAAGUACUAUUAAUUACAUGUACGAAAGUCGAUGCAAGUGAUUUGCAUUCCCUCUUUUCCAUUAUAUAACUCGCUUUACAAAAAAAAAAUCUAUAAUAUAAGACGUUUUAUAUAUAUAUAAUCAUUUUCUAUUUUUUUGAAAACAUGAGUUUUGUAAAGCUUAAUGCAAGUUUUAAUUUUUAUAGUUUAUAAGUCUCGUAAGGUGUAACAUCCCCUUUCCGAAAUAGAAAGAGAGGUCACGCACAACACAACAGAACUAACGAAUACCACAAGGCUCUAAACCACAAAAGAAUAAUCUCAUAAUAAUUAAAUCUCAUAAGAUAAACCAUAAUAAACGUCACACUGGCUCAAACCACAAUCUAAAAUAAUUAUUACAAUACUAAAUAAAUUGACAUAACAAGCCUAAACAGAAUAUUUCUAAACCAUUGGAAUGAAGGGAGCUCUCAUCACACUUGUCCUUGAUCCCCCUGAUUACCUGCCGGAAGAAAAACACAGCAUGAGCCAAAUGCCCAGUACAGAUAUAGAAUACAAAUAAUGAACUGAAAUAACUAACUCAAUUAAAUGAAAAGAGACGAAACGAACUGAAACGAAAUGAACAAAACUAACACAACGAAAUAAUAGGCUGAAUCAAAUGGUUGAGUGUUAUUUCAUACCGAACUCAAAAUAAAUAGUAAUAUACCUUGCCACACAGGCAAGUCAAAUAAUGUCACACAGACAAUCAAAAUAACGCCACACAGGCAAUCACACAUCGGACUGCGCAAUCCAGAUGCGUGCAAAAUCGGAAGGUGUGUUUGGCACAAACAUCACCAAUCCGCAAAACGGAACAGAACAGAAAACUAGGGUCGACCCAUACGCCUUCCACAACAAAACACCAAAUGGCCAACUCCCACCAGAGCACAAAACGGAGACGCCGUGGACUGAUCACACCGCCACGGAAGGUGUCAUGCCUCGGUGCCAAGAGGACAUGUCUGUGAUACCCCCACAGGUGGUUAUAGCUCAGGUAUACCAUACGGUAUUCUAACAAAAACAUUAUGUCACAACACAUGCGACACAAUAUCAACACAAAUGGGUUCUAACAUGUACAUGUUAAAUCAAACGAAUCGUCACCACAAGCCUCCAAAACAUUAACAUGUGUUUUCUACGAGAAUCAAAAUAAAUACAAAAGAUGUCACACUAGAUCAAGAGUACAAACACGAGUUUUAAGUAUCAAUACCAAGACGGAACUAUCAAAAUAAAUUUAGACAUGUUAUACUAGUCUAAAGAGUACAAAUAUGAGUUCCAACUAUGAACACCAAAACGAAUUAUCAAAAUAAAUUGACAAGGAAUAAUUAUGAGAUGCAAUACUAAAUUUCGAAAUGGACAACGAAACGAACAAAUUAAAAAUAAAAGAGUCUCACUGAAAAAGUACGGAAUCCGUACCUGAAUUAAGCAAAGUAAUACCCAAAAUUAUACUCCAAAUUUAACUCGUUUAAACUCUCUCCGUUCAAUCUAAAUAAUUUAAUAAAAUUUUAUUACAAUCCAAUCAUUAAAAAUAUAAUACUAUUAAAUUUAUUAUUAAAAACUUUUAUAAUUAUGUUGGCAAAAUUAAUCAAUUCAAUUUAAUAUACAUAACCUCAAUUUAAUUUAUAAAUUUUAAUUUAUAAACUUCAUGACUAAUAACCUAUUAAAAUGUAAUAUAUAAAUAUAUAAAUAUAAUAUAUAAUAAAAUCAACCCUCCAAGUUGCAGGAAAUCAAACAUGACAUAUAUAUAAGCAUAAUAUAAUUAUAAUUCUUAUUAAUACUUGCAGCAACUUAGCAUCCAUCAUGAUAACGAAAUCUUCUUUUUUCUUUCUUUUUUUUUUUUUAGCAAAGUUCAAUCAAACAACUGAAACAAGUAAUCUGACAAAUUUAUAAAUAUGUAUAUAUCCAGUCAAAUCAGUCAUACCCUCCUAUACUUCUACUAUUUACCGAUUAUAUGAUUCCUCUAAAAGAAUAUGCAUUACCUAGAAUUAUAAAAAAAAAAGCAAAAAAACUUGCCUGAUGUUAAACAAAAUUGUGAAUUUUCUUCCUCCUUUUUCCAGCUUCCUUCUUUUCCAGCGUAGUCGCCGACCUCUUUCCUUUUCUUUCUUAUUUGUAGCGCAUGUAUGAUUAGAUUUUAGUGUCUAUUUAUUUAUUAAUUAUCUUAAGUAUAAUAGUAUUUAAUAUUGCCCACAUAUAAAUUAAUCCCAAUUAGUUUUAAGGUCCAAUUUGUACUAAAUUAAUUUACCCAUCUCUUAUUAAUAUUUAUUAGCCCACACAAAUUAAAUAGCUAGUUUGACCCAAAAUAAAUGACAAAAUUCAAUUAAUAUAUUUUAAAACAAAGAAAUUUUUUUAUUUAAUUUUUAUUUUUAUUUUUCCGGAGUAUUACAUAAGGGGCAUGGUGGUCCAACCGUAUGGAUGAUGGUACAUGCGGUUGGUUUCGGAGGGGGCCUUAAAUUUGGAAGUGUCCGGAUACAAUAUUGUUCCUAGAUUUCAACGAGAUUGUCAUUAGUGAUGGUAGAUUUGGUGUUGGCAUGGGUGAACUUUAUUUCGUGUGAAUACACUUUAAUUAAUCAUUUUAAAAAAUUCUAACUCUGCUUUGGAUGGAUCCAUGAUUGGAGGGCAGAAUUGAUGGUAGUGGUAACUGUGGUAGCUUGAGUAAUGGUGACAGUGCCACAGUGCAGUGGUGGCGCUUGUGAAGCUGAUGGUGGUAGUGGUAGAGCUGCUUAUUGGGAUGGGUGAAAUGGAGGAAAUGAGGAUAACGUCGAUGGGCUUGUUGGUGACUUCGCGCGCUUCUAGAAGAAAGACCAUUAAAUGGGUUGUCAUGAUUGCAACCGUGAGAGUAUAGAUGGGGCCCAACAAUGAAGGAUGUAUAUGUUAUCCAGACGUUUUGGACUUACUAUAUUUAUUAUUAUUUCUGUUCUUUAAUAUAAG